UUCAGGCUAAUGGGUCCUGUCAACAAGAUUCGGAUUCAACGGAAAAAUCCGAAUCUUCUGGUACAGACAGCAAGAAAUCUCCGGGUUCAGAACCGGGUCCUCGGGUCCCUAAUUCGGGUUCGUCAAGAAGGGAGAAGCAAGGGAAAGAUAAUUGGUGGUGGUCCAAGGGCAGGAAAUUGAGGUGGGAACCGAUAGUUCAAGCUCAAGAAAUUGGGGUUUUGUUAUUGCAAUUGGGGAUUGUGAUGUUUGUUAUGAGAUUACUAAGACCCGGUUUGCCAUUACCCGGGUCGGAUCCUAGAGCUCCGACAAUGUUUGUAACUGUUCCAUAUAGUGAGUUUUUGAGUAAGAUAAAUAGUAAUCAGGUGCAGAAAGUUGAGGUUGAUGGUGUACAUAUAAUGUUCAAAUUGAAGAGUGAAGUGAGUAGUAGUGUAAUAGAGACUGAGGUUGUGAAUGUGAAUGAAAAUGGAAAUAGUAAGUUGCAAGAUUCUGAGGCAGUGAUAAGGAGUGUAACUCCUACAAAGAAAAUUGUGUAUACUACCACGAGGCCGAGUGAUAUAAAGACCCCUUAUGAGAAAAUGCUUGAGAAUGAUGUUGAGUUUGGUUCUCCCGAUAAACGGUCUGGUGGAUUCAUGAACUCUGCACUGAUAGCAUUAUUUUAUAUUGCUGUACUAGCGGGGCUUCUUCAUCGCUUCCCAGUGAAUUUUUCUCAGAGCACAGCUGGCCAACUCAGAAAUCGCAAGUCAGGGGGUUCAGGUGGCACAAAAGUGUCUGAACUAGGGGAAACUAUCACAUUUGCUGAUGUUGCAGGCGUUGACGAGGCUAAGGAGGAGCUAGAAGAAAUUGUGGAAUUUCUUAGAAAUCCAGAUAAGUAUGUACGGCUUGGUGCACGUCCUCCUCGUGGUGUUCUACUGGUUGGUCUCCCCGGGACAGGAAAGACACUUCUAGCAAAGGCUGUUGCUGGGGAAGCUGAGGUUCCUUUUAUCAGUUGUUCUGCAAGUGAGUUUGUAGAAUUGUAUGUAGGAAUGGGAGCAUCACGCGUCCGUGACCUGUUUGCACGGGCAAAGAAGGAGGCACCUUCAAUAAUUUUUAUCGAUGAGAUAGAUGCUGUG
rnacentral:misc_RNA from 1 species